UGGGGAAUUUUGGACAAUGGGCGCAAGCCUGAUCCAGCCAUGCCGCGUGCGGGAAGAAGGCCUUCGGGUUGUAAACCGCUUUUGUCAGGGAAGAAAUCUUCUGAGUUAAUACCUCGGGAGGAUGACGGUACCUGAAGAAUAAGCACCGGCUAACUACGUGCCAGCAGCCGCGGUAAUACGUAGGGUGCAAGCGUUAAUCGGAAUUACUGGGCGUAAAGCGUGCGCAGGCGGUUUUGUAAGACAGAGGUGAAAUCCCCGGGCUCAACCUGGGAACUGCCUUUGUGACUGCAAGGCUUGAGUGCGGCAGAGGGGGGAUGGAAUUCCGCGUGUAGCAGUGAAAUGCGUAGAUAUGCGGAGGAACACCGAUGGCGAAGGCAAUCCCCUGGGCCUGCACUGACGCUCAUGCACGAAAGCGUGGGGAGCAAACAGGAUUAGAUAGCCCUGGUAGUCCACGCCCUAAACGAUGUCAACUGGUUGUUGGGAAGGUUCCUUCUCAGUAACGUAGCUAACGCGUGAAGUUGACCGCCUGGGGAGCACGGCCGCAAGGUUG
rnacentral:rRNA from 1 species